rnacentral:tRNA from 1 species
CUUAAAUAGCUUAAUAGGAGAGCGUAUCGUUGAAGUUGAUGAGGUAAUUUUUUAUUUUUAAGUAU